rnacentral:rRNA from 1 species
CAGUGUACCCGCGGCAAGACGGAAAGACCCCGUGAACCUUUACUAUAGCUUGACACUGAACAUUGAGCCUUGAUGUGUAGGAUAGGUGGGAGGCUUUGAAGUGUGGACGCCAGUCUGCAUGGAGCCGACCUUGAAAUACCACCCUUUAAUGUUUGAUGUUCUAACGUGGACCCGUAAUCCGGGUUGCGGACAGUGUCUGGUGGGUAGUUUGACUGGGGCGGUCUCCUCCUAAAGAGUAACGGAGGAGCACGAAGGUUGGCUAAUCCUGGUCGGACAUCAGGAGGUUAGUGCAAUGGCAUAAGC